CGGGGCGUAGCGCAGUCCGGUUAGCGCACCUGGUUUGGGACCAGGGGGUCGCAGGUUCGAAUCCUGCCGCCCCGA
rnacentral:tRNA from 2 species